rnacentral:rRNA from 1 species
CCCAGACUCCUACGGGAGGCAGCAGUGAGGAAUAUUGGUCAAUGGCCGAGAGGCUGAACCAGCCAAGUCGCGUGAGGGAAGACGGCCCUACGGGUUGUAAACCUCUUUUGUCGGGGAGCAAAGCGAGUCACGUGUGACUCAUUGAGAGUACCCGAAGAAAAAGCAUCGGCUAACUCCGUGCCAGCAGCCGCGGUAAUACGGAGGAUGCGAGCGUUAUCCGGAUUUAUUGGGUUUAAAGGGGGCGCAGGCGGCCUGUAAAGACGGGGGAAAAGGCCGGGGGCCACACCCCGGCGGGCCGUUGAAACUGGCGGGCUGGAGUUGGAGAGAAGUACGCGGAAUGCGCGGUGUAGCGGUGAAAUGCUUAGAUAUCGCGCAGAACCCCGAUUGCGAAGGCAGCGUACCGGCUCCACACUGACGCUGAGGCACGAAAGCGUGGGUAUCGAACAGGAUUAGAUACCCUUGUAC